ACAUCCAGCGAACUUGGCAGAGAUGCCUUGGUGCCUUCGGGAACGCUGAGACAGGUGCUGCAUGGCUGUCGUCAGCUCGUGUUGUGAAAUGUUGGGUUAAGUCCCGCAACGAGCGCAACCCUUAUCCUUUGUUGCCAGCGAUUCGGUCGGGAACUCAAAGGAGACUGCCGGUGAUAAACCGGAGGAAGUGGGGAUGACGUCAAGUCAUCAUGGCCCUUACGAGUAGGGCUACACACGUGCUACAAUGGCGCAUACAAAGAGAAGCGACCUCGCGAGAGCAAGCGGACCUCAUAAAGUGCGUCGUAGUCCGGAUCGGAGUCUGCAACUCGACUCCGUGAAGUCGGAAUCGCUAGUAAUCGUGGAUCAGAAUGCCACGGUGAAUACGUUCCCGGGCCUUGUACACACCGCCCGUCACACCAUGGGAGUGGGUUGCAAAAGAAGUAGGUAGCUUAACCUUCGGGAGGGCGCUUACCACUUUGUGAUUCAUGACUGGGGUGAAGUCGUAACAAGGUAAGCGUAGCGAG
rnacentral:rRNA from 1 species